GCGGGGAUGGCGGAAUUGGCAGACGCGCUAGACUUAGGAUCUAGUGUCUCAGACGUGAGAGUUCAAGUCUCUCUCUCCGCACCA
rnacentral:tRNA from 1 species